rnacentral:rRNA from 1 species
AACGAACGCUGGCGGCAUGCCUAACACAUGCAAGUCGAACGAGAUCUUCGGGUCUAGUGGCGCACGGGUGCGUAACGCGUGGGAAUCUGCCCUUUGGUUCGGAAUAACAGGUGGAAACGACUGCUAAUACCGGAUGAUGACGAAAGUCCAAAGAUUUAUCGCCAGGGGAUGAGCCCGCGUAGGAUUAGCUGGUUGGUGUGGUAAAGGCGCACCAAGGCGACGAUCCUUAGCUGGUCUGGGAGGAUGAUCAGCCACACUGGGACUGAGACACGGCCCAGACUCCUACGGGAGGCAGCAGUGGGGAAUAUUGGACAAUGGGCGAAAGCCUGAUCCAGCAAUGCCGCGUGAGUGAUGAAGGCCUUAGGGUUGUAAAGCUCUUUUACCCGGGAUGAUAAUGACAGUACCGGGAGAAUAAGCUCCGGCUAACUCCGUGCCAGCAGCCGCCGUAA